AAGCGCGUCCGCGGUCCCCACGGCUGAGCCUCGGGGCGACCCGUAGCUCCGCGCUGCACCCCUCCCCCAGGCACCAACCCCGCCAGGUCGCGGGCACUCCCACCAGCUCGCAGCCCUCCUUCGGACCCUCGAUCCGAGAGCGCCACAGCCAGAGCUUGUGCCCAUGCCCCUGUCCCGCAGGGGAAGGGGAUCCCGCCUGGCCGGCUCUCGAGCGGCGACUAGUAACCUCCCGCGGGCGACAGCCCUCUCCCCAAAGAGUGCUGGCCGGGGGGCCCUGUCUAUAAGCCACGCGCAACUCCUCACCCGGCGGCGCCAUUCCUCCGAGCAGGUCCCGCCGGAGUCCGAGCCGCGGGCUGACUUCCGCUCGGGAAAGUGGCUCCAAGAGCCCGCCACAGGGGACGCCAGGGACUCGCGGCAGGCUCUGCGGGCCAGGAUGAGUUCUAAGCACAGGAUCUGUAGUCAGGAAGAAGUAGUGAUCCCCUGUGCCUAUGACAGUGAUUCAGAAAGUGUGGAUUUGGAGCUGAGCAACUUAGAGACUAUUAAAAAAGGCUCAAGUAGCAUUGAACUGACAGACUUGGACAUCCCUGACAUCCCUGGACUCCAUUGUGAGCCCCUGUCACAUAGCCCCAGACACCUGACCCAACAGGACCCGCUCAGUGAGGCCAUUGUUGAGAAACUGAUCCAGUCCAUCCAGAAGGUUUUCAAUGGUGAGCUAAAGGGUGAACUUGAAAAGCUGAAAUUCCUAGGAGAUCUGUCUUCUCUCAGCCAAGCUUUACCUUAUGAUGAAACCGCAAAAUCAUUCAUUCACAGCCACAUAGCAGACAUUGUGCAUACCUUAAAUGUACUGGUACAAGAGGAACGCCCGCAUUCUCUGUCCAGUUCCGUGCGCCAGGAGGUCUUUGUCACCAUCGCUGAUCUCAGUUACCAAGAUGUCCAUUUGCUGUUGGGCUCUGAAGAUCGAGCUGAGUUGUUCAGUCUUACCAUCAAGAGUAUAAUCACUCUGCCCUCUGUAAGGACCCUUACCCACAUACAGGAAAUCAUGCCCAAUGGGACCUGCAACACAGAGUGUCUUUACAGGCAGACGUUUCAGGCAUUCUCUGAGAUGCUCCAGAGUUUGGUGGUAAAAGACCCACAUUUGGAAAAUCUUGACACCAUUAUUAAGCACUUGGACCCCUGGUUACAGUCAGUCAAAGACCAUGAGCGGGAACGGGCCACGGCCAGCAUGGCUCAAAUUCUGAAGUGCCUAUCCAAACAUCUCAACUUGAAGCUUCCACUGCGAUUCCAAAGACUUGGACACCUAGUGGCUCUGAUGGCACUGCUCUGUGGGGACCCACAGGAAAAGGUGGCUGAGGAGGCUGCAGAGGGCAUUCACUCCCUGCUGCAUAUCACCCUGAGGCUGAAGUAUAUCACUCAUGACAAGAAAGAUCAGCAAAACUUGAAAAGAGCAUUGACAAAAUGUCGAGAAUUCCUGGAGCUCCACAGCUCUGCCGCUAAAUGCUUCUACAACUGUCCUUUCAGAAUUGCCCAGGUCUUUGAAGGUUUUCUUGAUUCAAAUGAGCUCUGCCAGUUUAUAAUGACUACAUUUGAUACCCUGAAAAACCUGAAACAUCCCUGCAUCCAGCGAUCAGCAGGAGAAUUACUGCUAACUUUGGCGAAAAAUACAGAGUCCCAAUUUGAGAAGGUGCCAGAAAUUAUGGGAGUUAUCUGUGCCCAGUUAUCCAUAAUCAGCCAGCCUAGAGUCCGCCAACAAAUCAUAAAUACCGUGAGUUUAUUUAUAUCCAGACCCAAGUACACAGAUAUAGUGCUCAGCUUCCUUCUGUGUCAUCCAGUGCCGUAUAACAGGCACCUGGCUGAGGUGUGGAGAAUGCUGGCGGUGGAGCUUCCCAGCACAACCUGGAUUCUGUGGAGGCUCCUGAGGAAGCUGCAGAAAUGCCAUAAUGAGCCUGCACAGGAGAAGAUGGCAUAUGUGGCUGUGGCUGCAACAGAUGCCCUUUAUGAGGUGUUUUUGGGAAACAGGCUUCGAGCAGCUACGUUCCGACUCUUUCCUCAGCUUCUCAUGACACUGCUUAUCCAGAUUCAUCACAGCAUCGGCCUCACCAUGUCUGAUGUUGACAUCCCAAGUGGCCUGUACACAGAACAGGAAGUGCCUUCAGAAGUCACCCCUUUGUGCUUUGCCAUGCAGGCUACAAAGACUCUCCUCCUCAGAACAUGCUGCUUGCAGGAAUUCAACAUCAUGGAAAAGAAUAAAGGAUGGGCUCUCCUGGGAGGAAAAGAUGGCCAUCUUCAGGGAGUAUUUCUCCUUGCCAACGCAUUGCUGGAAAGAAAUCGGCUCCUUGCACAGAAGGUCAUGUACUUAUUAGUCCCUCUUCUUAACCGAGGGAAUGAUAAACAUAAACUCACAUCUGCAGGCUUUUUUGUGGAGCUUCUCCGGAGUCCAGUGGCCAAGAGACUGCCCAGCAUAUACUCUGUUGCCCGCUUUAAAGACUGGCUACAAGAUGGAAAUCAUCUCUUUAGAAUUCUCGGCCUGAGGGGACUGUACAAUCUUGUUGGACACCAGGAGAUGGCUGGAGUACAAUGGUGCGAUCUCAGCUCACUGCAACCUCCGCCUCCCUGGUUCAAGCGAUUCUCCUGCCUCAGCCUCCCAGGUAGCUGGGAUUACAGAGAGAAGACAUCAAGAGCCUGUUGCCAUACAUUGUAGACAGCUUGCGUGAAACCGAUGAGAAGAUCGUUCUGUCAGCCAUCCAGAUACUCCUGCAACUUGUUAGAACAAUGGAUUUCACUACCCUGGCUGCCAUGACGAGGACCCUGUUCUCUUUAUUUGGUGAUGUGAGAUCUGAUGUUCAUCAUUUCUCCGUGACUCUCUUUGGAGCCGCCAUAAAGUCUGUAAAAAACCCAGAUAAGAAGAGUAUAGAGAACCAAGUCCUGGACAGCUUGGUCCCACUACUUCUGUAUUCUCAGGAUGAAAAUGAUGCAGUAGCUGAGGAGAGCAGGCGAGUCCUAACUAUAUGUGCCCAGUUCCUGAAGUGGAAGCUGCCCCAAGAAGUGUACUCCAAAGAUCCCUGGCACAUCAAACCUACUGAAGCAGGAACAAUCUGCAGAUUCUUUGAAAAAAAGUGCAAGGGGAAAAUUAACAUCCUAGAACAAACACUGACGUACUCCAGGAACCCAAAACUUCCCAUCAGAAGAUCAGCAGUCUUGUUUGUAGGCCUUUUAUCGAAGUACAUGGAUCACAAUGAGCUCAGGAGGAUGGGUACUGACUGGAUAGAGGAUGAUCUGAGAGACCUGCUGUGUGACCCUGAGCCCUCGCUGUGCAUCAUCACUUCCCAGACUCUGUUACUAGUCCAGAUGGCGAGGGCCGAACCAAAACCUAAGCAGAGAGUGAACUGGUUGCAGAAGCUCAUGGGCAGGUCCUCUGCCUAGAAACACAAGGCAAGCAACAUCAGAGACAGAAUCUUGCUAUGUUGUGCGGCAAGCUAGUCUUGAAGUCAUGGCCUCCAGUCAUCCUCCUGUGUCAGCCUCCCAAAGUGCUGGGAUUACAAGCAUGUACCACCGCACCCAGCAGAAUUCCAGUCUUGAGAAACAGGUCAAGGACAGCUUCAAAAGAGAUUCUAAAUAAAUGUUAAUGUUACAAUGUUA